AAGCUCGUAGUUGGAUUUCGGGACGCCUUUAUUGGUCCGCCCCUUCGGGGAGCGGGUCACUGGCCUCCUAUGUUCCUAACGGCCCUCAUCCGCGAGGGUGGGCAAUCAACCGCUGGGAUCGUUUACUUUGAGGAAAUUAGAGUGUUCAAAGCAGGCGUAACUCGCCUCCGAAUACGUUAGCCUGGGAUAAUGGAAUACGACUUCGGUCUUGUUUCGUUGGUUUCGCUUGGCUGAAGUAAUGAUUGAUAGGGACAGUUGGGGGCAUUAGUAUUUAGUUGUCAGAGGUGAAAUUCUAGGAUUUACUAAAGACUGACCAAUGCGAAAGCAUUUGCCAAGGAUGUUUUCAUUAAUCAAGAACGAAAGUAGGGGGAUCGAAGACGAUCAGAUACCGUCGUAGUCUCUACCGUAAACUAUGCCGACCAGGGAUCCGGAGAGUUUGCAUGGAUGACUCCCCGGGCACCUUGCGAGAAAUCA
rnacentral:rRNA from 1 species